rnacentral:lncRNA from 1 species
CCGGGCGCUGUCUAGCCGCUCGGUAGCUGGCCGCCUGGCCGGGAGGACACUGCGAGCGCGCCGCCUGUGGGGCUCCUCGGAGGAGGCGGGGCAGGCCCGAGCCGGGCUCCCGCGGCCGGGGUGGGAGGAGGAGAGGCCGCGCGGCGCGGGUGAGUGCCCAGGUAGGCGCGGGCGGGGCCGUCUGGACAGCUCCCGGGGGCGCGCGAGGCCGGCGGGCGGGCGGACUGCCUCCUGGGCCCCGGAACUGCGGGCCUCAUGCAUCUCGAGCCCUGCUUGUUAGGCUUAGGCUGGAUUCUCAGAGAGAACCUUCAGCAUUCUCACCCAGGCCAUUUCUGACCUGCCUACAAAUCCCCUUCCACUUUGUUCAUUUCCUCGCAAGGUCUGGGUUAUGAAAGCCCUUGCCAUUUUCGCAGUCGGCUUCCUUGGUAAUAAAAACAUAUCUGGGAGUCGGGGUGGGCUUCUGCAGUAAUCUAGCCCUGUCCUAGGCGCCAUGGGAGUUUACAGAGCAAAGGAAGGAACAUUCCCCACCGCAGAGAGGCUGGCAACUUCAGCCUUGGAUACACAAAAACACCCCAGUAUGCUAAUAUUAUCCAGAGCAUCAAAAAGACAUGCAAGGAUCAAAUUUUGCAUGGUGCCUGCUGAGUGUAAGGAAGCGCUAUGCCAUUUUCUCUGCCCUCUAGAAGUCUAUAACGUACAGUCUUCACACAAAGCAAAAUAAAAGCAUGACACCAAUAAAUGGGAAUACAGUAAAGUAUUUUUAUCUCUACAGGUCCAUUCAUGCAGAGGGCAUUUAUUGGGUGACUGUCUACAGUACUGCAAAAGGUUGCAAAGGAAAUGGAAGAUCUGAUCUUUCAGGUCAGGAGUUUACAAUCUAGUUAGAAACAGGCAUACAUACAAGGAACAGCUAGCGGGGGGGAAAAAUCCCCAGGUAUUGAGUAAACAAGAAGAUGGAGAAGGUUGGAGGUUUUUUUUGUUUUGUUUUGUUUUUUUAAUAAGGAAAAGACUUUAUACAUAUGUUCGGUGAGGAUCAGGAGAAGAAAUUCCAGGUCAAAUCAAAGGAAGACUGCUUGUAUGUAUCCCUGCUGUAUGGAACAAUAAUAACAAUGUCACUUGGCUGAAGUGUCAGCCCUGCCACUUAAAAUCCGUUUUGACCUUGUGCACACUUUUAACCUAAUAAGGAAUUAAAGGCUGUCUCAUAAUAUGGUUACGCAGUUCAAAUGAGAAUACACGUGAAUGCUUUUCAAACUGCUGUUUUUCUAUCAUGUACAUUUAUAGAGUAUUCUUUUGAUAAACUGGUCUCUUUUUGAAGACUUCUUUACAGUACCCUCUAGGCUGUAAGCUCCAUGAGGGCAGGAACCAGGUUUGAUAGUGUUCAUUAUCUUCUCACCAUGACUAGCAGAGUGGUACCUGUGAAUGCUUAAUAAAGGUUUGCUGAGUAAGUGAAUAAAUGAAUUGAUGAAUAUUGUUAUGCUUUGAACUAUUACUUUCAUUUGUUCCUUACGCAGUCUUUUGGUUUUGGUUUUGGUUUUGGUUUUUGGUAAUGGUCUUAUUGUGUGGCUGGCUGAGUGCAAAACUCUCUAACUUGGGACCUUCCUAUGACUGACUUGUGUUCCAGGAGGCUAUAUGGGAGGAUUCU